CUAACACAUGCAAGUCGAACGGUAGCACAGAGAGCUGCUCUCGGGUGACGAGUGGCGGACGGGUGAGUAAUGUCUGGGAAACUGCCCGAUGGAGGGGGAUAACUACUGGAAACGGUAGCUAAUACCGCAUAACGUCGCAAGACCAAAGAGGGGGACCUUCGGGCCUCUUGCCAUCGGAUGUGCCCAGAUGGGAUUAGCUAGUAGGUGGGGUAACGGCUCACCUAGGCGACGAUCCCUAGCUGGUCUGAGAGGAUGACCAGCCACACUGGAACUGAGACACGGUCCAGACUCCUACGGGAGGCAGCAGUGGGGAAUAUUGCACAAUGGGCGCAAGCCUGAUGCAGCCAUGCCGCGUGUAUGAAGAAGGCCUUCGGGUUGUAAAGUACUUUCAGCGAGGAGGAAGGCAUUAAGGUUAAUAACCUUAGUGAUUGACGUUACUCGCAGAAGAAGCACCGGCUAACUCCGUGCCAGCAGCCGCGGUAAUACGGAGGGUGCAAGCGUUAAUCGGAAUUACUGGGCGUAAAGCGCACGCAGGCGGUCUGUCAAGUCGGAUGUGAAAUCCCCGGGCUCAACCUGGGAACUGCAUCCGAAACUGGCAGGCUAGAGUCUUGUAGAGGGGGGUAGAAUUCCAGGUGUAGCGGUGAAAUG
rnacentral:rRNA from 1 species